rnacentral:rRNA from 1 species
CACGUAGGGCGCAAGCGUUGUCCGGAAUUAUUGGGCGUAAAGAGCUCGUAGGCGGUCUGUUGCGUCCGCUGUGAAAACUCGGGGCUUAACCCCGAGCCUGCAGUGGAUACGGGCAGACUAGAGGUAGGUAGGGGAGAAUGGAAUUCCCGGUGUAGCGGUGAAAUGCGCAGAUAUCGGGAGGAACACCGAUGGCGAAGGCAGCCUCCUGGGCCAACACUGACGCUCAUGCACGAAAGCGUGGGGAGCAAACAGG